rnacentral:rRNA from 1 species
UACAGAGGUCCCAAGCGUUGUUCGGAUUCAUUGGGCGUAAAGGGUGCGUAGGCGGCGCGGUAAGUCGGGUGUGAAAUCUCGGAGCUUAACUCCGAAACUGCAUUCGAUACUGCUGUGCUUGAGGACUGGAGAGGAGACUGGAAUUUACGGUGUAGCGGUGAAAUGCGUAGAUAUCGUAAGGAAGACCAGUGGCGAAGGCGGGUCUCUGGACAGAUACUGACGCUGAGGCACGAAGGCCAGGGGAGCAAACGGG